GAUGAACGCUGGCGGCGUGCCUAAUACAUGCAAGUCGAGCGAACAGACGAGGAGCUUGCUCCUCUGACGUUAGCGGCGGACGGGUGAGUAACACGUGGAUAACCUACCUAUAAGACUGGGAUAACUUCGGGAAACCGGAGCUAAUACCGGAUAAUAUAUUGAACCGCAUGGUUCAAUAGUGAAAGACGGUUUUGCUGUCACUUAUAGAUGGAUCCGCGCCGCAUUAGCUAGUUGGUAAGGUAACGGCUUACCGAGGCAACGAUGCGUAGCCGACCUGAGAGGGUGAUCGGCCACACUGGAACUGAGACACGGUCCAGACUCCUACGGGAGGCAGCAGUAGGGAAUCUUCCGCAAUGGGCGAAAGCCUGACGGAGCAACGCCGCGUGAGUGAUGAAGGUCUUCGGAUCGUAAAACUCUGUUAUUAGGGAAGAACAAAUGUGUAAGUAACUAUGCACGUCUUGACGGUACCUGAUCAGAAAGCCACGGCUAACUACGUG
rnacentral:rRNA from 1 species